UUUGUAAUUUCUUUGUAUCAAAACCUGGUGUCCUGAAACACAGGCCUCGAGCCUAGCUUAGGCACCAGUCUCCCACAAUAUUAGUGCUCAUGUUAUUAUGUACCUAUCUAAUGUCCUGUUAGCAAUAUUGUGGUGAGAAAAUAAAUAAAUAUUAUUAUUA